UGGCAAGACUAUGGCAGUCCACU
rnacentral:miRNA from 1 species